AUGCCUCCCCAGAGGAUGGUUGUCACCUUGGCACUACUGCUGGGGGCUUGCUGCACCAGUGCUUACCCUGCCUACCCUGAGAGAGACAGAGCCCAAGCCCUCAAGCCAACGGAUUUUAGCCUGGCUGACGGCGCAGAUGGCUUCAUGGCUGAGAGCAAGCCUGCAGCAGGACUCCAGCCUUCCAAGAGCCUGAACCAGGCUCUGCCUGCACAGUGGGAAGGAGUGAGCCAUGACCAGAGAGCAGCUCAUGGCAAUGGAGAGAAAAGCGCUCUCCAGGAGGAUGUCUCUGGACCCUUGCAGGGUGAAGACCUUGAUGCAUUCCUCUGGAAGAUGGUGGCCAUGGGCAAUCUCCAGAGCCAGGGGUUUGCUGAGACAGACCAGACGCCUCCACAGCCCAACAAGAGAGGUGAGUUCCCAGCACCCAGCAGGUCCUGGGAUCCAGCCCACCUGCACUGACCUGUGUCAUAGUUUAAGCUGAACCCAGGACAACCUGCAAAGGGGCCGUGGCAAGCAGGGGCCGGGCUUGGCUUGGAGAUGCUCCUGACUUGGGGUACAGGGUGCUUGUGGUGUGAACUGAGGCAUUCGGCUCCCAGGCUGUGCUCCUAGAACUGACUUAAAAGCCAGAGAGCCUGGGAGAAGAGAUGGACAUCUUCCUUCUUUUAAACUUUCCAGCUGUAGCCAAGUGCUGCCGCAUCCUCUUGCAUAGGUUUCUUUUCCUUCCCUCCCAGCUUGCUUCUGGAAAUACUGUGUCACCAAGUGAGGGGUUCAGGAGGAGCUCUGCCAGCUGCAUCCUGCCACUGCGAUCCCAGCGCCUUCCAUCCACACCCGACCCUGCUGGACUGAUUGCACUGAGCUAUGAAAGGGCUCUGGUCCCUUGUGGGGAAAGCGGAGAGGAUCUGCAGCAGAGGUGGGGUGUUGUGGGGCAGGGAAAGAGUGCCGUGAGGAUCAGGGGUGCAGGACAGUGCUUCUCCCAUAAAGCAGCCCUCCAGGACUCCUGGCAGGGCAGAGCUACCACAGUGGCCUAGCAGGGACAUGCCAGCUGCCAGGAGGAGCUGAAUAAACC
rnacentral:lncRNA from 14 species